UGAACGCUGGCGGCGUGCCUACUACAUGCACGUCGAGCGAACGGACGAGAAGCUUGCUUUUCUGAUGUUAGCGGCGGACGGGUGAGUAACACGUGGAUAACCUACCUAUAAGACUGGGAUAACUUCGGGAAACCGGAGCUAAUACCGGAUAAUAUUUUGAACCGCAUGGUUCAAAAGUGAAAGACGGUCUUGCUGUCACUUAUAGAUGGAUCCGCGCUGCAUUAGCUAGUUGGUAAGGUAACGGCUUACCAAGGCAACGAUGCAUAGCCGACCUGAGAGGGUGAUCGGCCACACUGGAACUGAGACACGGUCCAGACUCCUACGGGAGGCAGCAGUAGGGAAUCUUCCGCAAUGGGCGAAAGCCUGACGGAGCAACGCCGCGUGAGUGAUGAAGGUCCUCGGAUCGUAAAACUCUGUUAUUAGGGAAGAACAUAUGUGUAAGUAACUGUGCACAUCUUGACGGCACCUAAUCAGAAAGCCACGGCUAACUACGUG
rnacentral:rRNA from 1 species